UAUUCGUCGAGAGAACGCGGAGUGUGACAAAACGCUGGUUCUGAUUACAUUAGGAGGAAUGCGUAAAGAAAAAGACAAAAAAAAAUGGAACUUCUGGAAAUCGACCGAUUUGAUAGAGAAUUGCUCUGCUGCCAUUCCUCGCAUACACUCAUUCGCGUUUGCAUCGCACCAAAGGCAGCAUUAUUGGACAAAAUUCGACGCAAGAAACAUAGUGCCGGGUGAAGAUUAUCAACAUUUAACAAGUUUUUGAGAGUUUUCCUUAAAUUGCAUGCAGUAAUUGAGUAUUGAUUUGAAAGUUUAUACAAUGGACGAAAUGAAAACGCCUGUUAAAGAAAAGAAACCUCCCAAAAUUUCCGAAAGUCCGGAAAGAAUAUGCGGAAUUCACAACAGCAUUCGCGGGAACGAAUACCAACUAGGGGAAAUCUACCCUUUCCAAUCAAAAACCUAUCUUCGUCAUAUGGAGAGUU